UACGGAGGGUGCAAGCGUUAUCCGGAUUUACUGGGUUUAAAGGGUGCGUAGGCGGACUUGUAAGUCUGAGGUGAAAUCUCCGAGCUUAACUCGGAAACUGCCUUGGAUACUAUAGGUCUUGAAUGUCGUUGAGGUCAGCGGAAUAUGUCAUGUAGCGGUGAAAUGCUUAGAUAUGACAUAGAACACCUAUUGCGAAGGCAGCUGGCUAAGCGAAUAUUGACGCUGAUGCACGAAAGCGUGGGGAUCAAACAGG
rnacentral:rRNA from 1 species